UACUCUCUCAGUUGUGCUGGCUCUAGUUCUUGCUGUUCUUAUUGAAUGGAAGUGUUGUGAAAGAGAGAGACAAAUAGUGGUGUGGCUGUGGCUGUGGCUGUGGCUGUGGCUGUUUUUACACUCAGAUUGGGUUUCCAAUUGUUCCCACUUUGCUUGUUCCGUAAAAAACACAGAAAGUGACGCAUGUUAGAGGAGGGCGUCCCGGAGUGAGAAAGAAAAAAGAAAAUGAUUUAUUAUUAUUAUUAUUAUUUUGAUUUGUUUUAGCAGAACAUAUUCAAAGUAGGAAAAUACCCCACCAUCCCUUUAAUUUAAUCCCAAUACCAAAAAUCAUUGCUUUAGUCAUUGUCGUCUCAAAACCUUAUAAUUGUUCUUGUUUUGUAAUUUACUAUAUAUUCUCACUGAUCUCCAUAUCUCAUUUAUCAUUUGUUUUCAGGCUAAUCUAAUCAUAUCAUCAACUUGGAAAAAAGUCCUUAUGAACAAACCACAACCCACUGCCCGGCAGGUUUGAAGGUUGACUGCAGAAAAACCGAAGCAUGGUUUGAAAAUCUGAUGCCGUAUGCUCAUUGACUAUGUUAUUUUUGUCAGAAGAAGAAGAAGAAAUAAAAGGUGAACGAACAACAAAUGCUAUAGGGACCUCACCGGCUUUAUCAUCAGGAUAUCUGCAGGUGGAAAUUCAUGGCAGAGGUUAACAAGAAAGUAUGAAAUAGAAAGGAAAAUCCACUAUGAACGUCCACAUAAUGAUGGGACUAUAGAUGCUACUAUAUACUCCUUACGGGA